rnacentral:rRNA from 1 species
ACUCCUACGGGAGGCAGCAGUGGGGAAUAUUGCACAAUGGGGGAAACCCUGAUGCAGCCAUGCCGCGUGUGUGAAGAAGGCCUUGGGUUGUAAAGCACUUUCAGUAGGGAGGAAGGUAGUGUAGUUAACACCUGCAUUAUUUGACGUUACCUACAGAAGAAGCACCGGCUAACUCCGUGCCAGCAGCCGCGGUAAUACGGAGGGUGCGAGCGUUAAUCGGAAUUACUGGGCGUAAAGCGCAUGCAGGCGGCCUGUUAAGUCAGAUGUGAAAGCCCGGGGCUUAACCUCGGAAUUGCAUUUGAAACUGGCAGGCUAGAGUCUUGUAGAGGGGUUAGAAUUUCAGGUGUAGCGGUGAAAUGCGUAGAGAUCUGAAGGAAUACCAGUGGCGAAGGCGGCCCCUGGACAAAGCUGACGCUCAGAUGCGAAAGCGUGGGAGCAAACAGGAUUAGAUACCCCGUGGUAGACUGUCA